AGGAAUUAAAGAAAAUCUUCACUUUGAUAUUUGUCAUCAGCUUUUGCAAUGUUCAAAAUUCAAAUGCUCCUAAUUCAAAAUUCGAAGACUCCUAUAUAUCACAGACCAUGAACAUAGAACAAUAGACAAUUACUCUCACUUCUUCUUCAUUCAAAAGGAGAUCACACACACAUGAAAGGAGACAGACAUAUCAGAUCUCCAAUUUUUUUAACAAAAACAAACACAACAUACACAAUUACACAUGAACACAAUAUACACUUUAACCCAAAGAUAUACACACAAAAUUACACAAAAAUUCAGAUCUUAGUUACCACUUCUCUCUUAUCUCACUUUCUCUCUCAAGUUUCACCAAAAUGGGCCGAUCUUCUCACUGCCAGAGCUCACCGGUGGAUCACCAGAGCUCCGGCGAAACCCUUCAGUACCAUCAACUCCUCCAGCCGCCAACAACAGCCAUAACUGCCAACCACCCGAAAUCACAUCAACACCGCCACACGUCACCGCUAUUGUCUUCCUUUUCUUCUAUUUUCUGUUGUUGGCUCACCGGGAAGUGAUGAUCGGCGAGCUCCAAAUGCACUGUUACUGCUGCUACCCCUUGAAAAUACGGUAGAUCUAGCCGGUGUUUGCGUGUAUCCGGUAUUGCUUCGGUAUCCACCGUCGAAGCAACGCCAAUUCUUAAUAUUUUCUCCUCUACAGAUUGUUGUUUGGGGUGCUCUUAACACUUUUUCUUUUACGAUCGUUGGGAACUUUUGAAACUUUUGAUGACUUUGAAUUUUUUGGCAAAAUUUGGGUUGUCUCCAAUGAACAACACUGUUUUGGAAUUAUUUUGGAUUGUUUUGGGUUAAUUGUAUAUUAUAUCCUUGCAUACUGAUUUUAACAUUUGUUUAGUUCACCUUUUUGACGACUUUAAUCAUUCUUUAUGGUUAAAAGUUGCUGCUAUACUCCUUUAUUCUUCAUGGGUUGUCUUGUUGUGAUUAAUUUAUGAUGGUUUUACUUCGUUAUUGUGCAGCUGCAGCUGAUUUUGAAGUGAUUUGGACAUUUGUCCUUUCGUUUUGUCUUGCAAUUUAUUACAUUGGUAAAGAACAGGAUACUACAUGAUUAUGGCCAAUGAAAAAAUUACUACUCCUUCCGACCCAAAUUAUGUGUCACCAUUUCCUUUUUGAUCCGUCCCAAAAAGAAUGUCGUCUUUCCUUAUUUGGUAAGUUUUCAAAAACACAAUUACAAUUUUACCAUGUGGUCCCACUUGAUUUUACAUACUAUUACUCUUUUUUUAUUUGUUUUUCUAAUUAAAAGUGGUCCCACUUAAUUUUAAAUACUAUUACUCCUUUUUUUAAGAAGGGUAAUUUUGUAACUUUAACAAAGUCAAUACUUAUUUCUUAAAUAUCGUGUCCGGUCAAACGGCGACACAUAAUUUGGAACGGAGGGAGUACUUAAUUUUGAGGCCUCCGUAAAUAAAAGACGGAUUUUACAUAUACAUAAUAAAUAAUUUUUUUUGGGCGAUGAUGAAACUUUAUAACAACAGAAGAUUUUACAACUCAUAUUCUGGCAAGACGAUUUAGGACGGCCAAUUAAUUGAACAAUCAAUUCGUAGCAAAACGAUUUAGGAUGACCAAUUAAUUGAGCAACUAUUUCACAGUCAUGACUUUAUCUGAUCCCACUUUUAACAAAAAAUAUAUUUUUUUAUAAUACGUAAAUAUACACAUUCUUAUUUAUUAUUAUUUAUUUGUUACUAACAUUUUUUUUACAAGUGUUUAGACAGGUUAUUUUGGAAUACUCGUCGGGAGUUGCAGUCAAAUAGGCUCUUUUAAUUUUGUAUUGUAUUCUAUAUUCUUAUAUUUGUACAAUUAUCACUAUAGUAAAAAUUUUACUUUUUGGGUGUCGGGUGGGGAUAUUCUUCAUUUACACAAUUUCAUCACUUUUAGGCAAAACUUAGGCCGAUAAUAUUUACACCAAUAAAUUAAAUUAAAUUAAACAAUUAGUUUACAUAAUUUGACAUCAUAAACAUUGUAAUCUUUUUUGUUCAAAGAAAUCUUUAUUUUUUUUUGUAAAUUUUAAAUCAAGUAAGAUAUAUUAUUUUUAAACAUUUUCUCCUUAUGGCAUAUCAAGAUACACUUCUUUUCAUACAUGUCACAAAAUAUUUCUUCUUUUCACAUGUAAUUUAUACAUUUUCAUACAUAUCUUUUACCUGUGUUUCAAAAUAAUAUGUUUUAUUUAUAUAUUUAACAUACAUAUAUCUUUUACAUAGUUUUAAAUAUUUAGAUUUUUCAAAAGAAUUAUUUUAUACUUAACACAUACAACUUUACAUUAUUUUAAAUGUUUAUACCUCUUCACUCUUUGAUAAAUUUAGUCUAGCCGGGUACCACACUUGUGAAUUCUGAAGGAUGUUUAAUCCCUUCCCUUUGAAAUAACUUGAACCCUUACCUAGAAUUUCAGUUAUUUUUUUCGCAGACUAAAAACAUUAAUCACAAUGCUAAUAAAUAAAAAAGGUUUUCCUUAUUUUCCUUAAAAAUUAGGAAAUGACUCUGUACAAAUUUUCAUUCUUUUAGAGUUCAUAACGCCGUGCUUGUUUUGACCUCAGGUAAAAAUCGGGUAUGACAGAAUGAUGAUUCUGCUGGGGAUGACAACAUAUUCUAACCAUGAUCGACUCGAUUUAUAAUCGAGGGAGGUAUUUUUACAUUUUUGUAUAUGAUUAAAUUAUUUGAUUCCUUACCUAUUACAUUGCAAAUUAUGUGAAUUUGCUCAUAAAUUCUUUACAUUUUUUUGUCCUUAUCAUGCUUAGUUUAGGAUUUUUAUGCUUUAUUAUGUUAUUUGUUUUACAUAUUUUUAUAUCAUGCUAUGUGUGAAAGGACGCAAGCCAAAUCUAAACUUGCGUUCCUUAUUUGUUUGAAUAACACUACUUAUUACUGCUUUAUCACUUACAUUUUCCUAUUGAGUCUUUGGCUGUACAUAAUUCACACACUGUGGUACACGCGAGGGGUGUACUGCACUCCUCCAAACCUUCUUUGGAUUCCUUAGUUUCAGAGUCAGUGCAGUUAGGUUAGUGCACCUUCUCAUAAAUAUUCAGUCCCACUCUUGAACAUUUAGGAAACAAUCCUACUCUAGUAAUAGGUCAUAUCGCAUAUACCUUAGGCGGGACGGUCCAACGUAUCGUCUUCGCAACUAGGAAGACACCCUUUCGUCAGAAGGUUAUGAAACCUUUAUGACAUAUUUUGUGUUAGAACUGAUUCAGAUAAUCCAGAAAUCGAACAUUAAUGGAUUCAGAACAAUCAAAUUGGCCUUCUUUUACUCUUACUUCAUUCGACAUCAUUUUCACGUCAAUAGACAUAAAGUAUUACCCAAACUCGCCAACAUUUGACACCAUUUUCACGAAUACAGAGUGUUGUUAAAACUCAGCUUCACAAAUAUCUUUCUCAAAGUCCAUGAAAGUUGAGUGUUCUAAAAAUGCUUUACUUUCGUUCGACUUUCUCUUCAAGUUCGCAAAUAGGGAAUGUCACUAAAAAACUCCGCCUAUGUCUAACUUUUUUUUUAUCCAAACUAGAGUGGAAUGUCGUCAAGCAUUCUUCCAAUGUUUGAUUCCUUUUUCUAGUCAAUAGACGUAGAAUAUUAUUCAAAACUUUACAAUUAUUUGAUAUCCUUUUUCAAAAUAAUGAAUGUGGAAUAUUAUUCAUCUUCACCCACUUCUAACUCUUUCCACCAAUGAGCGUGAGAGAUUGUCGAUACUUCUCCACCGUUCAAUAUCUCUACCACAAGAUCCUCAUUCAUCAAUGACGAGACUUGAGAUACUCACUCUUUUAAAGACAUCAUUUUAGCUCGAUUCUAUCAAUUCUUAUAGAUUAUAUAGGCCUCUUUUAGCCCCCUUUGUUGGAUACAUUCCCUUUUUAAGAAAACUUAAUAUUGUUUUGAAUCCAAAAUGUGUCAAAAUCUAGAUUAUCUAUGUCAGUUUAUUUGAACGAAGCUCUACCUCUAGCAAAAUGAGGCUCCACAAUAUAAGAUGCACUUACUUGAUGUUGUCUGAAUGUGCUUGUCCAUUGACAUGAACUAACUCCUUAGCUUUUAUUUGUGUUGGCAUUAUCCCCCCGAUAGAGGUUAAUUAUGUUGAUUGAUAGAACUAGCCGACUUAAGCUACAUAUCCCAAGAAUAAACACUAAUAUCAUCGACCCGACUAGAAGUGUUCCAAUGCUAGCAAACGUAUCAGGGACUUUCAAAAGACAAGAUGAUGCGGAUAAGGAAGAACGUAUUAUUCUCUUGGAGCAACAACUCAAGACGUUAAGAGGAGAACUACACCAAGGAAGGGACCCCGCACAACUAUUCGUGGCUACUCUACCGCGCCCUUCUCUUUUUUUCUCCAAUACCUGAAAACUAUCAGUCAGUACAACCUUCCACAACAACUAUUAGCUUAACAAAUCCAUCAUCCCCGUUUACACCCAUCACCUCCCAUAAAUUUCCUUGUUGCACCCCACAUCCUAAUAUUGUUUGUGAUAAUCAACAAACAAAUCACGCUACCUUUCAAGAACAAUAUAUUUCUCCAAUGUGUGUGACUGAGACACUCGUUUUCACCAUGCCUGCUAAAAGUAGGCUUUUGAUAAGUACAAAGACAAAAGAGAGGGAUGACAAAUCGUAAACGAGCUGUGUAAUCUAAAGCGUGCAAUGAAAUACCUAUAAGAAACUUAAGUCAACGAGUAUUUAGACUACGAAGAUUUAUGUAUCCAUCCAGAUGUUGAUUUGCCAGUCGGGUUCAAGCCACCUAAGUUUGACUUAUUUGAUGGAACUGGAGAUCCUCAUACUCAUUUAAGAGCGUAUUAUGAUAAAUUGGUAGGGAUUCGAAAAAAAUGAGAAGCUUAUAAUGAAGUUGUUCAUUAGAAGUUUGUCUGGUGAGGCUCUCGUUUGGUACACCAAACAAGACCCUCGUAUUUUGCAUAAAUGGAGUGACAUGGCUGAAGACUUUAUGAAUCGUUUCAAGUUUAACACAGAAAUCGCACCUGAUCGACUUUCCCUCAUCAGUAUACAAAAGAAGACCUCUGAAUUAUUCCAGGAAUAUGCUCGACGAUAGAGGUCCGAAGUAGGAAAAGUUCAACCACCGAUGGACGAAAGUGAAUUAACAAAGUAUUUUAUCCACAGUCAAAAGGGUGUCUAUUUUGAAAAGAUAAUGUCCACAUUAGGGCAGAAGUUUUCCAAUUCUGUCAAAAUGGGGAAUUUUAUUGAAGAGUCAAUUAACUCUGGAAAGAUUAAGUUGACAAACAGCUCGAGCCAAUCUACUCAGUUGGAGUUUGUUGAAGGAGCUAAGGUAGAGAAUGAAGAAGAAGUAUCUGUUGUGAUACCACACCACUCAAUACCUAAAUUAUCCCAAUCACUUCAAAAUCUUGAUAAUGAACUGAUGCAAAUAUCGAGUCACAAACUACAUCAUGCCUACAAUAUCCAACAAAAUCACCUUCAACCCCAAGCUCCCACAUACCAAAAUCCACCACAACCAUGCAUACCAAUCCAAUUGUCAGUUUAUCAAAAUCCGACACCUUUUGCGCUAAGAUAAAAUUCUAAGGGUAAGCGCAAUCGAAGCCGCACUCAAUUUGUUGAAUCAUUGACAUUUUUGUUUGAGAGACUGAGAGCUAUAAAUUUAUUGCAACCGGAGUUGGGGAAGAUUCCUAAUCCAUUACCUAAAUGGUUCGAUGAAGCAAAGCGAUGUGCUUUCCACUCUGGAGUUCCGAGGCACGAUACUAAAGACUGUAAUAGGCUAAGGCAUAGAUUGAGUGUUUGAUUAAGGCCGGGGCAAUCCAAUGUGUUGUAGUACAACCAAAUGCAAAUAAUGAUUCGGUGACCAAUCAUGAAAAUAGAGGAGUGUAUAUGACGUGAGAGACACCAUCCUCCACGUCGAGCCAUCGGGGCCUUCAUAUAAGCUACUCUACAGAGAAGCGCUAACUUUAGCGGGAAUACGAUAUAGACGAAUCCAAGAUGAUCAACUCAGAAACAGUCAAUAGAGUCCUAUAUUUGAAGGCAUAAAAUUUUCUUCUAAUUAUCAUAUAACAAAACUACAUGGUGAGAUACGUAGGCAACCCUCAUCGAGUUUGGUCGUACUUAAGUAGAAUCAUUUCCCCUUUUGUAGUUGGAACUACGUGUGACCUGAUUUCCCUCGGUGGGAUACGUAGGCAGCCUAUAUAAGGCUCGAGCCCUUUAUAAUACAAAAUUCUAUUUUUCCCUAAUGAAGAGCGAAACUUGAACGCGACGGUAUCCAGAAACCCCGACACAAUCUAUCAAGACUAUCCCAAGAUACGCAACGAAGAAUCAUCGAAAGAGUCUCUCCAAGAGACUGGGGCAAAAUUUUGAAGAACGUUUCAAAAAUCAACAAAGGCUAGGAUGUUCAACUUGGAAAUGUUACAAUCAAGGUUGAUUUGUACCAGAUAAUGCAAGACAUCAUUAAAGCUACAAGACAUCAACGGGGGAUGAAUUGACUAGAAUAUCAAGAAAAAUGCACCAAGGGUCAAUACAGAAGACACUUCCACCACUUAACUAAAGAUCUUCUCUACAAAUAUUGUUAAAAGAUACUAUCAAUACAAAUGCUCCAAAAUCACAUCGAUGAUCAGCGCAGGAUCAAACACUCGUUACUUUAGUCAUAAGGAGGUCAACCAAAUCUUCUGAAGGAUUUCAAAAAUAUGCUUAAAAGCGUUCAAGCUUGGAUUAUGACUAAAAUACAUCAAUCAAGAAUAUCAACAUUCAAUAUCUGUUGACACAUGAGAUAACAUAUGUUGGCGUCGAGGAUAUCUCAUCAUCCUAUGAAUCAGCAUUUGAAUUCAUCAAAAGCACAUGAUUCGUCUUUAAGUUGCUAUCUAAAAGCGAACAUCAUAUGAGAUUUCCUUGAAAUUGAUAAUUUGAGGAUCAUCUAUAAGUCAUAUUAUUUGAAAUAAGAUAGUGUGCAGGAUUACCUCUGAGUUGAUAGUCCAUAGGUCAUUCGUAAGCCACAAUAACAUCCUAACCGAAUAGUAUGCAAGGUUACCUAAAAAUUGAUGGUCCGAAGGUUAUCCAUAAGUCGCAACUAAAUCCUUACUGAAGAAUAUGCGAGAUCAUCAAAUUGAUACGUCCAAGGGUUCUCUAUAAGCCGCGUCAUAUCCAAGAUCGAUUAUGUGCAGGAUUGCCCUAGGAAUAGCAAUUUGAGAGAUAUCUAUAAGUCACAUUGUGUCCAAGGUCGGAAGAUGUGCAGGAACACCUGAAAGCUAGCGAUUGGAGGGAUAUCUGUAAGUCGUUCUUAUCUGAGGUCAGAUAAUGUGCAGGAUUAUCUAAAGGCUAGGAAUUCAAAGAAUAUCUAUAAGUCGCCUCGUAUCCAAUAUUAAAUAACGCGCAAGAUAAUCCAAAGAUUGGUGAUUCAAAGGAAAUCUAUAAGUCGUCUUGAUACAAAAGAUGCGCAAGACUUAUCUGAGAUCGUAUGUGAAGAAUUAUUGGCAAUAACCAGAGAGGUCAUCAUUCCACAAGUAUUAUGGGUGACUCAAAAGGGUUACUGCAUCUACAUAAGAUUACACGGUUGUAGGGAUCCUUCUGCAUAAAGUUUCAUCGGUGUCCAAAAAGGGCAUCCCACUUUAAAGACAUAUUCAACUGAUAAAUGAUUACGCAAUAAUCAAAAGGGUUGUUGUGUCCAUCAUUACAAGUUGUUUCCUUCCAAGCAGGUACACGAAAAGACGACUGUAGUGAACCCAAAAAGAGUUCAUAUACGAAGACGCCCACAAGAUAAGGAGACUAUCAAUGAGGCGCCCAAGAAAUAUUCAGAGUUUACGCAGAGAAGACUCGUGCAUAUACCCAAGCCUCUUGCUUUCAUCAAAAUACAAGUCAGCGAGACUACAUAUGAAGAUAGAUACAACGCGUUCACUACUCUUCCGCUCAAAAACCAUGACAUGAAGGAACCGACAUUGAGAUGCAAAUCUCAACGCUUGAUCGACUCCAACAACCUACAAAAACAUCUAGCAAAUUAAGAAAUGCUUUAAUGCUAAGUGUUAGCACAAAGAAAGAAGCGAUAGGAUGUUGAAGACUCUAAUAUGAGAGAUAUGCUCGUAAUUGACCAAAUAGGCCUUUUAAGGAAAGCUUAUAAAUAUCAAUCUUACCAUUCUCCACCCACCCACCCUUGUGACUAAAUUUUCUUAAUUCUCCUCACGCGGAGCUACGUUUUAACCUGAUUCCUAUUUAGGAUACGUAGGCAGCCUGAGAUAGUCUCGAUCAUAUCAACAAAAUAUUCUCUCCAUCCUUUUAAAUUUCAUUUAUUAUCUCAAGCCACAACAGUUCCGUCGCUUUGACAGACGUCGAAAGAAAAGAGAAAGAUAGAAAAAUUCCCCGCUAUAAGAUAUACUAUUAUGAGCACAUCAUUUGGGAUUAGGAGGCGUCACUACUCUAAAUCCCGAAUAGAUUGCCGAUUGUCAGAAGAUUGAAGGACAAGAUAGCUGUUAGGCCAAGUUCUCGAUCAACACAAAAUCAACACUCCCUCCUUAAACUAAGCAACUUUCUUUGAGUGCAGGUACAACGUCGCUAAAACAAAGGUUCAAAUAUUUUGGAAGCCUAAAUGCUGCCUUACCAUCACGAGCUGAGAAUCCAGGUAUCGUCAAUUUAUCCAUAAUUAUUCCAAGAGACUAAAGGAUCUUCUCGAAUCUUACAGGUCACAAUAAUGCUCAAGGAGGCACGUGUCAAGUAUCUUACAACAUUCUAUCAGGUCCACAUUAAAGGGAUAUCCCCAUUAAGACUACGUCAUCAAGUACUAACAGUUCACGAAACUCUAACAUAACACAAGGAAAGUUUGCCCCGAACAAUAGGACAGGGCAGUUUGCCCCGAACAAUAGGACAAGGCAGUCAGCCCCGAACAAUAGGACAGGGUCGUCUGCCCCGAACAAUAGGACAGGGAAAGUCCACCCUGAACAACAGGACAAACAAUCACUCUAUCCUUCAGAAACCUCUAUAACACAAGACGCAUCGCCAAUCAAUACCUACAAAACACUUAGCUGACGGAGGCUAUUUACACUUCAGUCGAUGGAGGCUAUUUACAUUUCAUGCAACUGCUCAGCCGACGGAGGCUAUUUACAUCUCAGUUACGGCUCAGCCGACGGAGGCUUUUACUUUCAAGCAACUGCUCAGUCGACGAAGGUUGUUUGCAUUUUAGUUAUUACCCCGCCAGCCAAUUGCCUCCACAAAAAGAGACUAUACUAGUUUGAAUAUCUGAACCCUACUCUUUACAUUACAAUUUUAAUUUACAAUUUUUGAAGAAACAUGUACUUUUCACCUCUUUUACCUGUUUUGCAGGAAUAUGCAAUACAACGUGGAACUAUCCUCUUAGCAGUAAACUGGGGCAAGCUAGCGGAAUGUCAAGCAUCCCUAGCUGCAUCAAGGAUUCCAGUAAAGAAACUCAACUCAACUCAACUCAAAACUCUUAUUUUUUAUAAUUCUUAGCGUCAUCGCCCAGUGUCGUCUCAAUCUGACACUGGGGUAAUUUUUCAAAAAUUCGCAAUCUCCUUUUCCCUCAAAAUCCUCAGAAGAUGUGGCUACCCAGCGUCUCCUCAUGCACAACUAUUCCAAACAACCAGUUUUGGAACUUGCGCCCAUAUCCUUUUCCACUCGUGCUAAACUAUUUCUUUUACAUCCUCGAAGGAACCCAGUGUCAUGAUGAUUCUACACUGGAGCAAAUUUUGAUAUUCAUCAAAAUUUUGCUAUAAUUCGAACUACAAAUGGCUUGACUUCUUAUGAAGCCCCAGAUAUGUAGGCAGCUCGAGAACUGGAGCCCGACCAUAAUCUUCCAAACAUCUUGUUUCACCCGAGACAAAAUUGGUUACGUCAACAUGAUUGCCCAAAGAUUUUCAUGCAAAUCUUUAGUCACUCAGGGGAAACUGUUGACACCCAAUUUUGACUCAAAUUUUUUCCUUUAAUUGUUUUACCGAUGCUCCUCGUCCCUAAAUAAUUUUCAAAAAUUAAAUUAAAAAAUAAGAUUCGUAUUUUUGUUUCUAUUUUUAUAAUUUUUUUAAAAAGAACAAUUUAUUUUCUAUCAUAAUAUAAAAUAUUUUUUAUAAUUAAAUAUUUUAACAAAUAAAAAUAUAUAUCUUUUUUUUAGUGUGAUAUUGUGUCUAUAUAUAUAUAUAUAUAUAUAUAUAUAUAUAUAUAUAUAUGCAUAUAGUUUGUUAAUAUUAAAUUACAAAAAAAAAGAGAUAUUAAGUUGGACGCUUUAAGAAUUAUGUUUGUAAUUUAUAUAUGUUAAAACUAAAAAAUAAUUUUUAAGAUAUCAGGGAACAUCGAUAAAUUUAAUUUCAGCAGAAAAAGAGCGUUCAAACUAGCAAUAAUUCAAUUUUAUUUUUAUUUCAUCCGAGCCCAACUCUCAUCUUAUAAAUUUCAAUCAAGAGUUCAAAAAUCAUCCCGAACCCAGUAUAAUUUCUAUGCACGUCUUGCCAUUCCACCUUAAGAGAUACGAUUUAAUCUGAUCCGUUGGUUUAUUUUAAAUUCGAAGGAUCCCAAAAUUAUCAUUCAUUUUCAUAUAAAUGUAGAUAUAUAGAAUUUAUUAUUUAUUUAAUUUUCUAUUUAUUUUCAUACUUUUUUAAAAUUAAAAUUUGAACCGUCCAGACAAAGUCCGAACAAAUAAAAAUAGUCAUAUUAAAAAUUGACUUUUCAUAUAUUUAUCUGUAUAAUAUAUUUUUCUUUUCAUAUUUUCACUAUUAUUUUUAAGAAGGCAAUCUUUUAGGAUGGUUCGAUCAAAAGAUUGGAUGGAUCAAAACCAGUUUAAAAAUUACCGGACUAACACAACUUGAUCCGCUCUAUCGAUAGUUUUCCAAAUCGAGGAUCCUGAAAGUUUCAGUUAUCAUUAUACAUUUACAUAUAGGUGUGCAUAAUGUAUUUUAUUUAUCUAAUUAUUUACUUAUUUAUUUACGUAUUUAUAUUCUCUUUUCUUUUAAAUUUAGAUCCGGACAAAGGUCGAACAUAUUCAAAAAUAACCAAUUUCGAAUCAACUCUUUUUCAUAUAUUUAUUUACACAUACAUAUAUAUAAAAAAAAUUUAUUUUUAAGGUAUUAUUUUUUUAAGACCGUCCGAUCUUAAAUCGGACGGAUCAAAAUCAAUCAAAUUUUUAAGAGAUCAGCGCAUUAAAUGCACAGCUCCCAUGCGUCUGCUUUUGGCAGAAUAUGCAUAACUCUCUUCUCAAAAUAAUAUUGACGAGUCUCCAUGACCUCUUUUCCAAAAACAACAAUAAUGGCCUCUUUUCUCCCUUCUCCGCUUUCCCUUCUAUCCACCAUUCCCAAAUCAAAAGACCUAGAUCUACCGCGUCACCACCAUAGCUGCACCUCGUCUGCCAAGAUUCUCCCAUUUUUAACCAUCCAAGUCUGUGAAUUCGUGAGAAUUAAAAGAAAAAGACCCAAUUCAAUGUUUGAUGUCAAUUUCGCCAUUAAUGGUCUAGAUAAAGAAGAUAUCUUUAAAUUUAUUAAAUUGCUGCAUAAGUCAUAAAAAGAAUUAAAGAAAAUCUUCACUUUGAUAUUGGUCAUCAGCUUUUGCAACGUCAAAAUUCAAACGCUCCUAAUUCAAAAUUCGAAGGCUCUUAUAUAUCACAGAUCAUGAACACAGAUCAAUAGACAAUCACUCUCACAGAGAAUCCAUUUUUUUUGCUCCUUCUUCUUCAUUCAAAAGGAGAUCACACACACUUGAAAGGAGACAGACAUAUCAGGUCUCCAAUUUUUUUUUACAAAAACAAACACAACAUACACAAUUACACAUGAACACAAUACACAAUUUAACCCAAAGAUAUACACACAAAAUUACACAAAAAGUCAGAUCUUGGUUACCCCUUCUCUCUCAUCUUACUUUCUCUCUCAAGUUUCACCAAAAUGGGCCGAUCUUCUCACUGCCAGAGCUCACCGGUGAGGUCACCAGAGCUCCGGCAAAACCCUUCAGUACCAUCAACUCUUCCAGCCGCCAAUAACAGCCAUAGCUGCCAACCACCCGAAAUCACAUCAACACCGCCACGCGCCACCGCUAUUGUCUCCCUUUUCUUCUAUUUUCCGUUAUUGGCUCACCGGGAAGUGAUGACCGGCGAGCUCCAAACGCACUAUUACUGCUGCUACCCGCCUGAAAAUACGGUAGAUCUAGCCGAUUUUUGCGUGUAUCCGGUGUUGCUUCGGUAUCCACCGUCGAAGCAACGCCAAUUCUUAAUAUUUUCUCCUCUACAGAUUUUGUUGUUUAGGGUGCUCUUAACAUUUUUUUUUACGAUCGUUGGGAUCUUUUGACACUUUUGAUGACUUUGAAUUUUUUUGACAAAAUCUGGGUUGUCUCCAAUGAACAACACUGCUUUGGAAUUAUUUAGGACUGUUUUGGGUUAAUUGUAUAUCAUAUCUUUGCAUACUGAUUUUAACAUUUGUUUAAUUCACCUUUUUGAUGACUUCAACCAUUCUUUAUGGUCAAAAGUUGUUGCUAUACUCCUUUAUUCUUCAUGGGUUGUCUUGUUGUGAUUAAUUUAUGAUGAUUUUACUCCGUUAUUGUGCAACUGCAGCUGAUUUUGAAAUGAUUUGGAUAUUUAUUCUUUCGUUUUAUCUUGCAAUUUAUUACACUGGUAAAGAACAGGAUACUACAUGAUUAUGGCCAAUGAAAAAAUUGCUACUUAAUUUUGAGGCCUCCAUAAAUAAAAGACAGACUUUACAUAUACAUAAUAAAUAAUUUUUUUUGGGCGAUGAUGAAACUUUAUAACAACACAAGAUUUUACAACUCAUAGUCUAGCAAGACGAUUUAGGACGACCAAUUAAUCGAACAAUCAUUUCGUAGAAAAACGAUUUAGGAUGGCCAAUUAAUUGAGUAAUUAUUUUGCAGUCAUGAUUUUAUCUGAGCUUAUUUUUAACAAAAAAUAUUUUUUUUAUAAUACGUAAAUAUAUACAUUCUUAUUUAUUAUUAUUUAUUUGUUACUAACAUUUUUUUUACAAGUGUUUAUACGAGUUAUUUUGGAAGUUGCAGUCAAAGAGGCUCUUUUAAUUUUGUAUUGUAUUUUAUAUUCUUAAGUUUGUACACAUAUCACUAUAGUGAAAAUUUUACUUUUGGGUGUCGGGUGGGGAUAUUUUUCAUUUACACAAUUUCAUCACUUUUAGGUAAAACUUCGGCCGAUAAUAUUUACACCAAUAAAUUAAAUUAAAUUAAUCAAUUAGUUUACAUACUUUGACAUCAUAAACAUUGUGAUCUUUUCUGUUUAAAGAAAUCUUUAUUUUUUUUUUUUUGUAAAUUUUAAAUCAAGUAAGAUAUAUUAUUUUUAAAUAUUUUCUCCUUAUGGCAUAUCAAGAU
rnacentral:lncRNA from 1 species